rnacentral:rRNA from 1 species
UACGUAGGGUCCGAGCGUUGUCCGGAGUUACUGGGCGUAAAGGGCGCGCAGGUGGCGGUGUUGGCCCGGCGUGAAAGCCCCGGGCUUAACCUGGGAACUGCGUUUGAUACGGAUGGGCUAGAGUUCGGGAGAGGAGAGUGGAAUUCCCAGUGUAGAGGUGAAAUUCGUAGAUAUUGGGAAGAACACCGGUGGCGAAGGCGGCUCUCUGGACCGAGACUGACGCUGAGGCGCGAAAGCGUGGGGAGCAAACAGG